ensembl:lncRNA
UGGGGCUCCAGGGUGCCCAGGCAUCAGGUGGUUCUUCUCUCCUGGCAUUUAUGCACAGCUGGCACUUCAGCAAGAACCUAAAGUCCCUCACGUCUAUUCUUCCUUUUUCCUGGGGGCAAAAUCACUUCCAGAUUGCUUCCUUUAAAUGGAGGCCAGUAAGGGGAUAGUGACACAGUAGACGCUUCUGUGCUGUAGCCCAAACACAUCUCUGCAGGAUGCCAGGGGGCUAGGGCCUGGGCACACCAGCUCCAGAGGCUCCAGGUGCUUUGCUGCAACUUCCUACAGGGCCAAUUAGCUGUCCAGUGUCCGGGUUCAAUGACCGUGCUUUACAAGCAAAUGGCCUGGACUCAUUACACUCUGACGACUGUUUACUUGAAGCUUCUAUCUCAGUUUUUCAUCUGUAAAAUGGGAUAAUGUUCCCUCUUGGGGUUAUUGUGAAGUUGGAAUGCAAGAGAUCUAGAAGUCCUAUGUCCAAAGAGGGUUUGACAGUUAAAGUUUAUUAUUAACUUGGCCGUAUUUAGAAUCAACACAGAAGCAUACCUUUGGGCAGUUCAUGAGCAUGUCUCCAGAAAUAUUUAACUGAGGUGGGGUGGGAGAGCCCAUCCUUAAUUUAGGUGGCAUUGACCUGUUGUGGGAUUUUCAUCAGAGAAGACUGCUCAGACAUUGGUUUAAGCCAAUGAAAGUCUUUAUUAGCCUGCCUGUGACUACGCUGGAUGUUCAGGAUCCACGUGUACAACUGAGCCCUUCUCAGGGUGAGCUUUUAAGCACAAAAACCAUGUCCUGGGUUGACAUUCUUCAGUUAACAAGAGCAGUCAGCCAGAAGCGGAACUACAGAAGCCAAAAAGAAAGGUUGUGCAGUCUCUUUUUAUACUCGUGGAACUAUUCUGAAGAGGAUAGAUCUUGUCUCAUUCUCAACAUAAGUAUAUUAGUUACUGUUUUCAAGUUGUUGAGACAAAAAUACCGGACAAAGAGACUUAACCGAAAGGCUUAUUUUGGCUUACAGUUGGAGGGUCCAGUGCAGCAGGUGGAGAGGUUAUGGCCACUGGGGUAUGAAGCAGCCGCUCGUACAACUCCUGCAGUCAGGAAGCAGAGGUGGAUGGAGCCUGGUCUUCAGGUUGAUAUCUCUCUUUUAGUCAUGCUGGGAUUGCAGCCCAUGGAAUGAUGCCAGCCACAUUUAGGGUGGAUCUUCCCACUUAAUUAACUUAAUUUAUCUAAUAUAUAGUAACACAAUUUAUAGAAUAUCUUAUGGGCAUACCCAGAGGCUUGGUUAGGUGGCUCUAGGUUCUGUCAAGCUGACUGACAAUCGGUGUUAACCCCCACAAUAGGACUGUGUCCUUAUGGUGUCAGGGAGCCAUCUUUUCAUAAAGUGGGACUUCCUGCAGUGCGUUGGUCUGAUUCCAAUGCAGUUAUUUUUGUACGCGUGCACUGCAGGCACUGUCACAAGCUUCCACCAGCCGGAAUGUAAUGUUUGGUUGUCUCUGUCACUGAUGUUGAAGCCAGUGAUCAUCUUCACCCAGAUUCAUUAUUUCCUUCGGGGUUUUCAGAAGCAGUUUUCCAAUGCUCCCAUCCUUACUUGCUCCGGGGUCUCUCUCAAUGGGGAAAUUAUUUCACUAUCAACCUUUUGGUUGCUUUAUGAUAAAGAAAAACAGGUCCAGUAGUGGUGGCACAUGCCUUUAAUCCCAGCACUCUGGACACAGAGUCAGGAGGAUCUCGGAGUUUAAAGCCAUCCUGGUCUGCAGAGAGAGUUUCUAGAUAGCUAGGGCAACGUAAAGAAACCCUGACAGGAAGACAAAAAACAGAAACAAACAACAAAAGAAAUAAAAGAGGAACCAGUGGCAUGCUUUUUUUGCAUUUAACGAAGAGUGUUCUGGUUGUCUCAUAUAUUCUGGAGGUGGCCAGCAGGUUGCCUUGUUUUAUGUUUUCAUAAGGAACUCAUGGAUACAGACGUAGUCAAGUGUUUCAAAUCUGUUCGCUCUUACUGUUGAAACUCAGAUUUGACUUUCUCAUGCCUGACAUGAGGACAACUUUUCUCAUCUGCUCCCUAAGUUCUGGCAUGACCACAACCUCAAUUGUCACAGAUAAGUCCCUCGCUUUCUGGAAAGAAAACCUGUCCACGUUUGGAAUGGACCACUUAAGAGACAAUAUGUUUAUACUGGUAUUUUCAGUUCAAAUUACAAUUAUAGGACUUUAAAAACUUUAAUUUGAUUUUGAAUCUUUUGCUUUUAUGCCAAAGAUUUUGAUGUUUGUUUUGAGACAUGGUUCCACUUUGGAGCUGUGGCUGGCUGGAAAGCACUAUGUUGAUCCAACUGGCCUCAAACUCACAGAGAUUCACCUGCCUCUGCCUCCUGAGUGCUGGAUUAAAGGUGGGUGUCAUCUCUCUAGGGAAAAUCUUAUUUUUUUUCUUUUUUCUUUUCGGGGUUGGGGACCGAACCCAGGGCCUUGCGCUUGCUAGGCAAGCGCUCUACCACUGAGCUAAAUCCCCAACCCGAAAAUCUUAUUUUUAAACAAUACUGUAAUUGCUUCUAUGCUUUAUUAUCUUCUUGGAACACGCAAACACACACAUGUACUUAUAUACUUACACACACAUACACAUACACACAUGGAUACGUACACACAUGUGCUCCUUUGCAUAUGGUAUGCCUGUGUGUUUGCGCAUCGACAGUAAAAUUGGUUACCGGAAAUAGCCACUUUUAUUUUUCUUGGCAGGAUUUUUCUCUGUAUCUCUGACUGUCUGGAAAUUCACUCUGCAGACCUGGCUAGCCUCAAACUCAACAAUCCACCUGCCUCUGUCUCCUGAGUGCUGGGAUUAAAGGCCUGUGCCACCAUGCCUGACAAGACAUAGCUUUCAGUGACUUCACACGCUUCUCACCAGAGCUACACAGCUGAGUUAGUGUGGCUCGAAGCAGUUACAGCAGCCUAUCUCUGCAUCGUUAAGCCAUCAUCUCGAUGCAGUUAAACUUAUUUUAUUUUGCCCUUGAUUUAAAGAAUUGCCUUUUUCAUCUGACUUAACAUUAUUUGUAAUUGCCUCAAACAUCCCUAUGGUUCCCAAAACAAAUCUAGAGAGCAAAGUAUUAGCCAGAGAAAUAUAGAUUCUAUCCCAAAUUCAUCGUUUUAAUCUUUACCUUUAGCUGACAAUUAUUUAUUUUAGAGCUUGUCUUUCCAUUGCAGAACCAUACAGGUGCCCCCUCCCCCUCAGGUCAGUGAAUACUUGCUGUAUGUAAUGGAGCCCAUCUUGCUUAUUCUCCUGAUCCUGGAUUCGUAGCCAUGUGCAGACAUGCUCUGCACUCUCUCCUGAAAGUGCAUGCACAGUAUUCUGUGAAUUCUUAUUUUCUGAGAAACUGGGUGUUAGGACUUAAAUAGACAGAUCUGGGAGUGGACACGGUCAGCUCAAAAAUAGGGCUGCACUGAUGUAUGGAUAGAUUCUGAGAAUAUUGGCAUUGGGACAAUACUAAACCUCCAAUACAGGAAUGAGGAUGUCCCCGUAUCUGUGUAAGUCUCACUUAAGAUCUGUGGAAAGAGGAACGCCAGUGUGUAUCUGCUCUCUUUCUUCCCUCUUUUUCACUUAGGCUAAGACCCCAGGCAUGGGGUGUUGCAUCUUUCCUCUCAGUCAAGCCUCUCUGGAAACGCCCUCAUGGACACACAAAGAAGUGUGUUUCCUAGGUAGCUCCAAACCUUGUCAAGGUGACCACGAAGACUAACAGUCUCAGCAGCUGAGACGCUGUACAGUUGCAUUGUGGGUGUUCAUGGAUGGUUAAAUCUGCCUCUCAAUAUUUUCUAGUUGGUGGUUGCUCUUAUGAAUGACGCUUUCCAGUGUACUUUAUGGUUGCUUAUGACAACUCUGUGGAAAUGUGAUGACUAUUUGUACACUGACCUUGGUCCUGAAUUUCCUCUUCUGUUUAGUGGAUGUAGGUGUUCUAUGUGCACUGCCAUUUGCGUCUUGCUCUCUAACCUUUGUGCCUUUGUUUUCCUCACUGGACAGUCUAUGACCUUCAGUUCAAUGCAGAAUAGAGGGAUAAGUGCUGGUUUCCUUCACUGACUCCUCAUCUUAGAGGAGCCUUCUACCGCAUUUAUCUCAAGUGUGACGUUUUUGUGGUUACUCUUUAGCAGACCAUGGUGGCUAAACAAGGGCCCCUUACCAGUUUCCAGCUGUGGGGAAACAUAGUGAUGACAGCUCUGAAGUUGUGUCUUCAAACCCACCACCAUGUCUGCACUGAAGCCGCUCUUCCCACAGUGUCUUCCAGCACAUGCUCACAGACACGGGAGUCAUCUGUCCUGCCACAUAGACUUGAGGAUUCCCUCGUUACUACGGUUGGCCACUAAGACUGCAUUGUGGUUUCAAACUGCUCCAUACCAACCACUCUCUCUUCUUCCCUUUGCUGGGACACAUUUGCUCUGUGUCCUGACAGCUCAUUUGUCCUGAAGCUUUUUUGCUGUUUUUUUUUUUUUUGAAGGAGCAAUUCUCCUAAUAAUGCAUGGUGGUUUGAAUGAGAAUGGCUCCCAACGGGCUCAUAUAUGUGAAUACGUGGCCCUCAAUUGGUGGAACUGUUUGGGAAGGUCUAGGAGGUGUGGCCUUGUUGGAGGAGGUGUGUCACUGGGGGUGGGCUUUGAGGUUUUAAAAGCCCAAGCCAUUCUGUUAUUGUUUUCUGCCUCAUUCCUGUGGAUGAGGAUGUGAGCUCUCAAUGCUUGCUCUAGUGCCAUGCCUACAUGCCUGCUGCCAUACUCCCUGAAAUGAUAAUCAUGGACUCUAGCCCUCUGAGCCCCAAAUUAAAAAUACUUUUAAAGUAAGUUGCCUGUGUCUUACCAUAGCAAUAAAAGAGUAACUAAGACAUAA